CCUACGGGGGGCUGCAGUGGGGAAUAUUGGACAAUGGGGGGAACCCUGAUCCAGCCAUGCCGCGUGUGUGAAGAAGGCCCUCGGGUUGUAAAGCACUUUCAGUGAGGAAGAACGCCUGGUGGUUAAUACCCAUCAGGAAAGACAUCACUCACAGAAGAAGCACCGGCUAACUCCGUGCCAGCAGCCGCGGUAAUACGGAGGGUGCGAGCGUUAAUCGGAAUUACUGGUCGUAAAGCGCGCGUAGGUGGCUUGAUAAGCCUGUUGUGAAAGCCCCGGGCUUAACCUGGGAACGGCAUCCGGAACUGUCAAGCUAGAGUGCAGGAGAGGAAGGUAGAAUUCCCGGUGUAGAGGUGAAAUGCGUAGAGAUCGGGAGGAAUACCAGUGGCGAAGGCGGCCUUCUGGACUGACACUGACACUGAGGUGCGAAAGCGUGGGUAGCAAACAGGAUUAGAUACCCUAGUAGUC
rnacentral:rRNA from 1 species